UGCAGUCGAACGGUGACGGAGGGCUUGCCCUUCUGAUCAGUGGCGAACGGGUGAGUAACACGUGAGUAACCUGCCCUUCACUCUGGGAUAACGCUGGGAAACCGGUGCUAAUACUGGAUACGACCUACUCGGGCAUCCGAUGUGGGUGGAAAGAUUUAUUGGUGGAGGAUGGACUCGCGGCCUAUCAGCUUGUUGGUGAGGUAAUGGCUCACCAAGGCGACGACGGGUAGCCGGCCUGAGAGGGCGAUCGGCCACACUGGGACUGAGACACGGCCCAGACUCCUACGGGAGGCAGCAGUGGGGAAUAUUGCACAAUGGGCGAAAGCCUGAUGCAGCGACGCCGCGUGAGGGAUGAAGGCCUUCGGGUUGUAAACCUCUUUCAGCAGGGAAGAAGCAGCUGGGUUUUCUUGGUUGUGACGGUACCUGCAGAAGAAGCACCGGCUAACUACGUGCCAGCAGCCGCGGUAAUACGUAGGGUGCAAGCGUUGUCCGGAAUUAUUGGGCGUAAAGAGCCUGUAGGCGGUUUGUCGCGUCUGCUGUGAAAUUUCGGGGCUCAACCCCGAACUUGCAGUGGGUACGGGCAGACUAGAGUGUGGUAGGGGAGACUGGAAUUCCUGGUGUAGCGGUGAAAUGCGCAGAUAUCAGGAGGAACACCGAUGGCGAAGGCAGGUCUCUGGGCCACUACUGACGCUGAGAAGCGAAAGCAUGGGGAGCGAACAGGAUUAGAUACCCUGGUAGAAUCACUAGUGAAUUC
rnacentral:rRNA from 1 species